rnacentral:rRNA from 1 species
UACGGAGGGUGCAAGCGUUACUCGGAAUCACUGGGCGUAAAGAGCGUGUAGGCGGGUAUAUAAGUCAGAAGUGAAAUCCUAUAGCUUAACUAUAGAACUGCUUUUGAAACUGUAUACCUAGAAUGUGGGAGAGGUAGAUGGAAUUUCUGGUGUAGGGGUAAAAUCCGUAGAGAUCAGAAGGAAUACCGAUUGCGAAGGCGAUCUACUGGAACAUUAUUGACGCUGAGACGCGAAAGCGUGGGGAGCAAACAGGAUUAGAUACCCUGGUAGUCCACGCCCUAAACGAUGUACACUAGUUGUUGUGAGGCUCGACCUUGCAGUAAUGCAGUUAACACAUUAAGUGUACCGCCUGGGGAGUACGGUCGCAAGAUUAAAACUCAAAGGAAUAGACGGGGACCCGCACAAGCGGUGGAGCAUGUGGUUUAAUUCGACGAUACACGAAGAACCUUACCUGGACUUGACAUAGUAAGAACUUUCUAGAGAUAGAUUGGUGUCUGCUUGCAGAAACUUAUAUACAGGUGCUGCACGGCUGUCGUCAGCUCGUGUCGUGAGAUGUUGGGUUAAGUCCCGCAACGAGCGCAACCCUUGUCAUUAGUUGCUACGAAAGGGCACUCUAAUGAGACUGCCGGUGAUAAACCGGAGGAAGGUGGGGAUGACGUCAAGUCCUCAUGGCCCUUAUAGGUGGGGCUACACACGUCAUACAAUGGCUGGUACAGAGGGUUGCCAACCCGCGAGGGGGAGCUAAUCCCAUAAAACCAGUCGUAGUCCGGAUCGCAGUCUGCAACUCGACUGCGUGAAGUCGGAAUCGCUAGUAAUCGCGGAUCAGAAUGUCGCGGUGAAUACGUUCCCGGGUCU